UACGUAGGGGGCAAGCGUUGUCCGGAAUCAUUGGGCGUAAAGAGCGUGUAGGCGGCUCGGUAAGUCCGCUGUAAAAGUCCAGGGCUCAACCCUGGGAAUGGCAUUUGGGACUGCAAGGCUGGAGUGCGGCAGAGGAGACUGGAAUUCCUGGUGUAGCAGUGAAAUGCGUAGAUAUCAGGAGGAACACCGAUGGCGAAGGCAGGUCUCUGGGCUGACACUGACGCUCAUGCACGAAAGCGUGGGGAGCAAACAGG
rnacentral:rRNA from 1 species